UGGGGAAUAUUGGACAAUGGGCGAAAGCCUGAUCCAGCCAUGCCGCGUGUGUGAAGAAGGUCUUCGGAUUGUAAAGCACUUUAAGUUGGGAGGAAGGGCAUUAACCUAAUACGUUAGUGUUUUGACGUUACCGACAGAAUAAGCACCGGCUAACUCUGUGCCAGCAGCCGCGGUAAUACAGAGGGUGCAAGCGUUAAUCGGAAUUACUGGGCGUAAAGCGCGCGUAGGUGGUUUGUUAAGUUGGAUGUGAAAUCCCCGGGCUCAACCUGGGAACUGCAUUCAAAACUGACUGACUAGAGUAUGGUAGAGGGUGGUGGAAUUUCCUGUGUAGCGGUGAAAUGCGUAGAUAUAGGAAGGAACACCAGUUGCGAAGGCGACCACCUGGACUAAUACUGACACUGAGGUGCGAAAGCGUGGGGAGCAAACA
rnacentral:rRNA from 1 species